ACGGAAGGCAGCAGUGGGGAAUAUUGCACAAUGGGGGAAACCCUGAUGCAGCAACGCCGCGUGAGUGAUGAAGUAUUUCGGUAUGUAGAGCUCUAUCAGCAGGGAAGAUAAUGACGGUACCUGACUAAGAAGCACCGGCUAAAUACGUGCCAGCAGCCGCGGUAAUACGUAUGGUGCAAGCGUUAUCCGGAUUUACUGGGUGUAAAGGGUGCGUAGGCGGCAUGGUAGGUCAGAUGUGAAAGACCGGGGCUCAACUCCGUGGCUGCAUUUGAAACUGCCAGGCUUGAGUACAGGAGAGGCAGGCGGAAUCCCUAGUGUAGCGGUGAAAUGCGUAGAUAUUAGGAGGAACACCAGUGGCGAAGGCGGCCUGCUGGACUGAAACUGACACUGAGGCACGAAAGCGUGGGGAGCAAACAGGAUUAGAUACCCUGGUA
rnacentral:rRNA from 1 species